CCGGAGGCUGAUGCCCACCCGGGAGCCCCCAAAGACUCGCGGCUCCCGGGGGCACCUGCAGACUCACCCGCCUGGGCCUGGACCCCCGGUGAGCCUGACCGGGAGGGGGUCCCCAGGCCGGGCCUCUAGGCAAAAGAUUUAGUCCCCCCAGUUUGAGGGACUCCGGUUUCCCGGCACCCCGAUUUAACUCCAAACCAUAAUUCCUGUGGCAGCUGCAGGGACUGGCGCCCCGAGGCCUCAAAACCAGCGCCCCCCGCCCUCCGUGCCAGCCCCAGCCGGGACCCCACAAGGCAAAGACCAAGAAGAUUGUGUUUGAGGAUGAGUUGCUCUCCCAGGCCCUCCUGGGCGCCAAGAAGCCUAUUGGAGCCAUCCCUAAGGGGCAUAAGCCUAGGCCCCACCCAGUGCCCGACUAUGAGCUUAAGUACCCACCGGUGAGCAGUGAGAGGGAACGGAGCUGCUAUGCUGCAGUGUUCCAGGACCAGUACGGAGAGUUCUUGGAGCUCCAGCACGAGGUGGGGUGUGCACAGGCAAAGCUCAGGCAGCUGGAAGCCCUGCUGAGCUCCCUGCCCCCACCCCAAAGCCAGAAGGAGGCCCAAGUUGCAGCCCGGGUUUGGAGGGAGUUUGAGACGAAGCGAAGGGUGAGUCUUGCAUCCCACAGCUUGGUCUUGCACCCCUGAGACUUCUGUGAGGCUAGGGUUCCUGUGCCCAGUUUCUUUUUUUUUUUCCGAAAGAGACAGAAUCUCGCUCUGUCACCCAGGCUGGAGUGCAGUGGUAUGAUCUCAGCUCACUGCAACCUCAGCCUCCCGGGUUCAAGCAGUUCUCCUGCCUCAGCUGGGAUCA
rnacentral:sRNA from 1 species